UACGUAGGGGGCAAGCGUUGUCCGGAAUCAUUGGGCGUAAAGAGCGUGUAGGCGGUCUGUCGCGUCGGUCGUGAAAACUUGGGGCUUAACCCUGAGCUUGCGGUCGAUACGGGCAUGACUGGAGUUCGGCAGGGGAGACUGGAAUUCCUGGUGUAGCGGUGAAAUGCGCAGAUAUCAGGAGGAACACCGGUGGCGAAGGCGGGUCUCUGGGCCGAUACUGACGCUGAGGAGCGAAAGCGUGGGGAGCAAACGGG
rnacentral:rRNA from 1 species